AACACGUGAGUAACCUGCCCUUGACUCUGGGAUAAGCCUGGGAAACUGGGUCUAAUACCGGAUACGACCGCUCACCGCAUGGUGUGGUGGUGGAAAGCUUUUGCGGUUUUGGAUGGACUCGCGGCCUAUCAGCUUGUUGGUGGGGUAAUGGCCUACCAAGGCGACGACGGGUAGCCGGCCUGAGAGGGUGACCGGCCACACUGGGACUGAGACACGGCCCAGACUCCUACGGGAGGCAGCAGUGGGGAAUAUUGCACAAUGGGCGCAAGCCUGAUGCAGCGACGCCGCGUGAGGGAUGACGGCCUUCGGGUUGUAAACCUCUUUCAGUAGGGAAGAAGCGAAAGUGACGGUACCUGCAGAAGAAGCGCCGGCUAACUACGUGCCAGCAGCCGCGGUAAUACGUAGGGCGCAAGCGUUAUCCGGAAUUAUUGGGCGUAAAGAGCUCGUAGGCGGUUUGUCGCGUCUGCUGUGAAAGACCGGGGCUCAACUCCGGUUCUGCAGUGGGUACGGGCAGACUAGAGUGAUGUAGGGGAGACUGGAAUUCCUGGUGUAGCGGUGAAAUGCGCAGAUAUCAGGAGG
rnacentral:rRNA from 1 species